CUUCCAGUAGCACCUUAGAGACUUAGUUGGUCUCUAAGGUGCUACUGGUGCUCUAAGGUGCUUAGAGACAUAGUUGGUCUCUAAGGUGCUACUGGAAG